rnacentral:misc_RNA from 1 species
GCAAACUUGGUCAUUUAGAGGAAGUAAAAGUCGUAACAAGGUCUCCGUUGGUGAACCAGCGGAGGGAUCAUUACUGAGUGAAAACUCCCUAAACCCAUGUGAACAUACCUAAAACGUUGCCUCGGCGGGCUAUGCCUCCGGGUGCCUCUCACGAGGCCCCGGGCACCCGCCGGAGGACCCAAACUCUGUCUUUAUAGAGAUUGUCUGAGUGGCGCAAGCAAAUAAAUCAAAACUUUCAACAACGGAUCUCUUGGUUCUGGCAUCGAUGAAGAACGCAGC